rnacentral:rRNA from 1 species
AGUGAACGCUGGCGGUAGGCCUAACACAUGCAAGUCGAACGGCAGCACAGUACUAGUUUGCUCUUCUGGGUGGCGAGUGGCGUACGGGUGAGGUAUAUAUCGGAAUCUACUUUUUCGUGUGGGUUCACGUAGGUAAACUUACUCUAAUACCGCAUACGACCUACGGUUGUAAACAUUGGAUCUUCUCACCUUGCGCGAUUGAAUGAGCCGCUGUGGGAUUAGAUAGUUGGCGGGGUAAAGGCCCACCUAGGCGGCGAUCCGUAGCUGGUCGGAGAGGAUGAUAGGCCGCAUUAGAACUGAGACAGGGACAAGGCUCCUAAGGGAGGCAGCAGUGGGGAAUAUUAGACAAUGGGGGCGAGCAUGAUCCAGCCAGACCGAGUGGGUGAAGAAGGCCUUCGGGUUGUAAAGACCUUUUGUUGGGAGAGAAAAGCAGCAGGUUGAUACCAAGCUGUAGUGACGGUACCGAGAGAAGAAGCACCGGCUAACUACGUG